CCACCGCGGUUAUACGAGAGGCCCAAGUUGACAGUUACCGGCGUAAAGAGUGGUUAAAGAAUAAUAGAUACUAAAGCCGAACACCCUCAAGGCAGUUAUACGCACCCGAAGGUUAGAAGCCCAAUUACGAAAGUAGCUUUAUUUCUCCUGAACCCACGAGAGCUAUGGUACAAACUGGGAUUAGAUACCCCACUAUGCCUAGCCCUAAACAUUGAUAGUACCCUACACCCACUAUCCGCCUGGGAACUACGAGCAUCAGCUUGAAACCCAAAGGACUUGGCGGUGCUUUAGAUCCACCUAGAGGAGCCUGUUCUAGAACCGAUAACCCCCGUUCAACCUCACCUUUUCUUGUUUUCCCCGCCUAUAUACCGCCGUCGUCAGCUUACCCUGUGAAGGUCUAAUAGUAAGCAAAAUUGGCACAGCCCAAAACGUCAGGUCGAGGUGUAGCGUAUGGAAAGGGAAGAAAUGGGCUACAUUCCCUAUAACUAGUGAAUACGGACGAUGCACUGAAAAAACAUCUGAAGGAGGAUUUAGCAGUAAGCAGGAAAUAGAGCGUUCCGCUGAAAUCGGCCCUGAAGCGCGCACACACCGCCCGUCACUCUCCCCAAGCUCACAAACUAAUUAACUAAAAACCUAGAACUGCAAAGGGGAGGCAAGUCGUAACAUGGUAAGUG
rnacentral:rRNA from 1 species